rnacentral:rRNA from 1 species
AGAGUUUGAUCAUGGCUCAGAUUGAACGCUGGCGGCAGGCCUAACACAUGCAAGUCGGGCGGUAACACAGGGAGCUUGCUCCCGGGUGACGAGCGGCGGACGGGUGAGUAAUGUCUGGGAAACUGCCUGAUGGAGGGGGAUAACUACUGGAAACGGUAGCUAAUACCGCAUAACGUCUUCGGACCAAAGUGGGGGACCUUCGGGCCUCAUGCCAUCAGAUGUGCCCAGAUGGGAUUAGCUAGUAGGUGGGGUAAAGGCUCACCUAGGCGACGAUCCCUAGCUGGUCUGAGAGGAUGACCAGCCACACUGGAACUGAGACACGGUCCAGACUCCUACGGGAGGCAGCAGUGGGGAAUAUUGCACAAUGGGCGCAAGCCUGAUGCAGCCAUGCCGCGUGUAUGAAGAAGGCCUUCGGGUUGUAAAGUACUUUCAGCGAGGAGGAAGGGGUUAAGGUUAAUAACCUUAGCCAUUGACGUUACUCGCAGAAGAAGCACCGGCUAACUCCGUGCCAGCAGCCGCGGUAAUACGGAGGGUGCAAGCGUUAAUCGGAAUUACUGGGCGUAAAGCGCACGCAGGCGGUUUGUUAAGUCAGAUGUGAAAUCCCCGGGCUCAACCUGGGAACUGCAUUUGAAACUGGCAAGCUUGAGUCUCGUAGAGGGGGGUAGAAUUCCAGGUGUAGCGGUGAAAUGCGUAGAGAUCUGGAGGAAUACCGGUGGCGAAGGCGGCCCCCUGGACGAAGACUGACGCUCAGGUGCGAAAGCGUGGGGAGCAAACAGGAUUAGAUACCCUGGUAGUCCACGCCGUAAACGAUGUCGACUUGGAGGUUGUGCCCUUGAGGCGUGGCUUCCGGAGCUAACGCGUUAAGUCGACCGCCUGGGGAGUACGGCCGCAAGGUUAAAACUCAAAUGAAUUGACGGGGGCCCGCACAAGCGGUGGAGCAUGUGGUUUAAUUCGAUGCAACGCGAAGAACCUUACCUGGUCUUGACAUCCAGAGAAUCCUGCAGAGAUGCGGGAGUGCCUUCGGGAACUCUGAGACAGGUGCUGCAUGGCUGUCGUCAGCUCGUGUUGUGAAAUGUUGGGUUAAGUCCCGCAACGAGCGCAACCCUUAUCCUUUGUUGCCAGCACGUGAUGGUGGGAACUCAAAGGAGACUGCCGGUGAUAAACCGGAGGAAGGUGGGGAUGACGUCAAGUCAUCAUGGCCCUUACGACCAGGGCUACACACGUGCUACAAUGGCGCAUACAAAGAGAAGCGACCUCGCGAGAGCAAGCGGACCUCAUAAAGUGCGUCGUAGUCCGGAUUGGAGUCUGCAACUCGACUCCAUGAAGUCGGAAUCGCUAGUAAUCGUGGAUCAGAAUGCCACGGUGAAUACGUUCCCGGGCCUUGUACACACCGCCCGUCACACCAUGGGAGUGGGUUGCAAAAGAAGUAGGUAGCUUAACCUUCGGGAGGGCGCUUACCACUUUGUGAUUCAUGACUGGGGUGAAGUCGUAACAAGGUAACCGUAGGGGAACCUGCGGUUG